CCUACGGGAGGCAGCAGUGGGGAAUAUUGGACAAUGGGCGAAAGCCUGAUCCAGCAAUUCCGCGUGUGUGAAGAAGGCCUUCGGGUUGUAAAGCACUUUAGUGGGGGAAGAAACAGCUUGGCCACACCAAGCCUUGACGGUACCCCAAGAAUAAGCACCGGCUAACUCUGUGCCAGCAGCCGCGGUAAUACAGAGGGUGCAAGCGUUAAUCGGAUUUACUGGGCGUAAAGGGUGCGUAGGUGGCUAUUUAAGUCGGAUGUGAAAGCCCGGGGCUCAACCUCGGAAUUGCAUUCGAUACUGAGUGGCUAGAGUUCGGUAGAGGGCGGCGGAAUUUCCGGUGUAGCGGUGAAAUGCGUAGAUAUCGGAAGGAACAUCAAUGGCGAAGGCAGCCGCCUGGGCCUGGACUGACACUGAGGCACGAAAGCGUGGGUAGCAAACAGGAUUAGAUACCCUGGUAGUCCACGCCGUAAACGAUGAGAACUUGACGUUGGUUCGUUUUACGAAUCGGUGUCGCAGCUAACGCGAUAAGUUCUCCGCCUGGGGAGUACGGCCGCAAGGUUGAAACUCAAAGUGAAGUCGACGNGAGAGAGCGACGACGACGACGACGAGGAGAG
rnacentral:rRNA from 1 species